rnacentral:rRNA from 1 species
UACGUAGGGAGCAAGCGUUGUCCGGAAUCAUUGGGCGUAAAGCGCGCGUAGGCGGCCUCAUAAGUCCGUUGUGAAAGUCAAAGGCUCAACCUUUGAAAGCCGAUGGAUACUGUGAGGCUAGAGUCCGGGAAGAGGCGAGUGGAAUUCCUGGUGUAGCGGUGGAAUGCGCAGAUAUCAGGAGGAACACCGAUGGCGAAGGCAGGUCUCUGGGCAUUAACUGACGUGAGGAGCGAAAGCAUGGGGAGCGAACAGG